GGUAGCGGGUCUGAGAGGAUGAUCCGCCCGAGUGGGACUGAGACACGGCCCACACACCUACGGGUGGCAGCAGUUGGGAAUCUUGCACAAUGGGGGAAACCCUGAUGCAGCGACGCCGCGUGGAGGAUGAAGGGUCUAGGCCUGUAAACUCCUUUUACCGGGAAAGACUUAGGACGGUACCCGGGGAAUAAGGACCGGCUAACUACGUGCCAGCAGCCGCGGUAAGACGUAGGGUCCAAGCGUUGUCCGGAUUUACUGGGCGUAAAGAGCGCGUAGGCGGUCCGUUAAGUGUAGAGUGAAAGCUCCGGGCUCAACUCGGAAAUUGCUCUGCAUACUGGCGGACUCGAGGACGGAAGAGGUUUGUGGAAUUCCUGGUGUAGCGGUGAAAUGCGUAGAUAUCAGGAGGAACACCCAUGGCGAAGGCAGCAAACUGGUCCGUAUCUGACGCUGAGGCGCGAAAGCGUGGGUAGCAAACAGGAUUAGAUACCCUGGUAGUCCACGCCCUAAACGAUGGAUACUAGGCGUGAGAGGUAUCGACCCCUCUCGUGCCGCAGCUAACGCACUAAGUAUCCCGCCUGGGGAGUACGGCCGCAAGGUUGAAACUCAAAUGAAUUGACGGGGACCCGCACAAGCGGUGGAGCAUGUGGAUUAAUUCGAUACUAACCGAAGAACCUUACCCAGACUUGACAUCGAUGGUAAGCAUCUGAAAGGAUGCCCUCCCUCUCAAGGGGACCAGAAGACACUUGUUGCAUGGCUGUCGUCAGCUCGUGCCGUGAGGUGUACGGUUAAGUCCGCCAACGAGCGCAACCCUCGUCCUGUGUUACCAGCAUGAAAGAUGGGGACUCACAGGAGACCGCCGGUGUAAGCCGGAGGAAGGUGGGGAUGACGUCAAGUCAGCAUGGCAGUUACGUCUGGGGCUUCACACAUGCUACAAUGGGCGCAACAGAGGGCCGCGAUACCGCGAGGUGGAGCUAAUCCCAAAAAUACGCCCCCAGUUCAGAUUGCAGUCUGCAACUCGACUGCAUGAAGGCGGAAUCGCUAGUAAACGCAGGUCAGCUAUACUGCGUUGAAUACGUUCCCGGGUCUUGUACACACCGCCCGUCAAGUC
rnacentral:rRNA from 1 species